GCCUGUGUUGCUUAAUGGUUAGAGCGCCGGCCUGUGCACCGGAGGGUCUUGGGUUCAAGUCCUGGUCAAGGGCA
rnacentral:tRNA from 1 species